UAAUUUAUAGACGUAUUUAUAUCCUUAUCCACACUAGUGCCCUAGGUCCGAGAAAAUGUUAGUAAUAUGGAUAUUUUCAUAUGCAGUGGUCUAGGUCAAGUGGCGGUUAGGUUUUUUUUAAAUAACAUAAAAAUAAUUUAGUGAUAUAGGUAUUUUAGUCAGAUAGGCGUUGUUAAAGCGGCGAAUUAAUUAACUAGCGACUUUACUGCGCACAUCAUAAAAAUCAUAGGUCAGGAAUAGCUGACCGAAAGUCUUGUCGAAAGCGAAUCAAAUUUACCCACCAAAUCCCACCCCAUGAUUGUACUGUGAUGCAAUAUCACAAAAUCAAAAUUGUCUGUCGUGUGCUGUCGUGUUGCUGGCGCCUCAUAUUGCAUUGAUGACGCAUUUAUUUAUUUUAAUUCACUGUUCUUUAUUUUCCAAAAGGGUUAUUUUUUAUUUAUAUCCUCACUAAAUUAAUCAUAAACAACUCGAAUUUACUUAUGAAAUAGUGUUAGUUAAUGUUGUUUCAUGAUUUAACGGUGAAUUAAAAUUUCGGUAAUAAAAUGAAUCGAACACGUGUUCACUUUUAUUUUAAAACGAUACUGUACAACUAUAUGAUGGUAAGUAGUACAUUCAAAGUCCCUUUGUCAAAUAUUGCAUUGUGGGAAUAAUAAGCACCAUGUGGCGGAAUUUAACGUAAUUAAAUUUUAGGUUAUAAUUUGAAAAAUGGCAUAUAUUUGAUAUCAUAUAUGUUCAUGAUGAUGAUAAUCAUCAUCUGGCUGCAAAGUUACUAUAAGUUUGAUGCACCACUUUUUAAAAUCCAUUAGAUAUUUUAUAUAAUUUAGUUAUCAAUAUUAUGUAGUUGUUAUAUAUCUUUUUCUAGAUGUGUUUCCCAAUUCUAUUGCAUUGGAUAAAAACCAUGCUACUGCUGAACAGAAGUGAUUCCCAAUUCUUGGCAUUGGAUGUCCACUAAGCUGAUGAUAGACAGAAGUGUUUCCCAAUUGUUGGCAUUGGAUGUCCACUAAGCUGAUGAUAGACAGAAGUGUUUCCCAAUUGUUGGCAUUGGAUGUCCACUAAGCUGAUGAUAGACAGAAGUAUUUCCUAUUUCUUGGCAUUGGAUGUCUACUGAGCUGGUGUUUACACUGUUAUAGCAGACUUUUUAAUUCUUAAAAUAAGUUUAUAAGUAAUAUCUAUGUGAUGAUAUAUAAAUCUUAUCAUAUUUCACCGAAGAUUGGGAGUCUACAAUGUGCGUUGUAAUGUAUAAAUGUUUAGGAAACCCUGCAUUUUUUUUAUUAACAUUUGAUAGUCUUUUUGUCAAUGUUUUUUUAUAGUAAGAGUUAUUAU